rnacentral:rRNA from 1 species
GACGAACGCUGGCGGCGUGCUUAACACAUGCAAGUCGAACGGAAAGGCCCUGCUUUUGUGGGGUGCUCGAGUGGCGAACGGGUGAGUAACACGUAAGUAACCUGCCCUUGACUUUGGGAUAACUUCAGGAAACUGGGGCUAAUACCGGAUAGGAGCUCCUGCUGCAUGGUGGGGGUUGGAAAGUUUCGGCGGUUGGGGAUGGACUCGCGGCUUAUCAGCUUGUUGGUGGGGUAGUGGCUUACCAAGGCUUUGACGGGUAGCCGGCCUGAGAGGGUGACCGGCCACAUUGGGACUGAGAUACGGCCCAGACUCCUACGGGAGGCAGCAGUGGGGAAUAUUGCACAAUGGGCGGACGCCUGAUGCAGCAACGCCGCGUGCGGGAUGACGGCCUUCGGGUUGUAAACCGCUUUCGCCUGUGACGAAGCGUGAGUGACGGUAAUGGGUAAAGAAGCACCGGCUAACUACGUG